rnacentral:rRNA from 1 species
UACGUAGGGUGCAAGCGUUUGUCCGGAAUUAUUGGGCGUAAAGAGCUCGUAGGCGGCUUGUCGCGUCGGAUGUGAAAGCCCGGGGCUUAACUCCGGGUCUGCAUUCGAUACGGGCAGGCUAGAGUGUGGUAGGGGAGAUCGGAAUUCCUGGUGUAGCGGUGGAAUGCGCAGAUAUCAGGAGGAACACCGAUGGCGAAGGCAGGUCACUGGGCCGCAACUGACGCUGAGGAGCGAAAGCAUGGGGAGCGAACAGG